CUCUCUGCAGACCACCGGCUAGAGCAGGAGCACGAGCUCUUCCGCUGUUUCCAGGAUCCCUGCCGGCUGGGCACGCGCCAAAAGCAGCCCUGGGCCCUGGGUAUCGCGCUUGGGGGGAGGGUACCCCCGCCGGCUGGGCACGCGCCAAGAGCAGCCCUGGGCCCUGGGGACCGCGCUGAGCACCUCCGUGCUCCACCAGUCCAUGGCCUCCUCCCCCAAGAUGCCGAGGCGGGCCCUGGAGCAGGAGAAAGGGCGCCACCUCUACCUGGCCGGCCUUCCCGGCAGAAGCCGCCGAGCUAAGCCCUGGAGAGGAGGUGGAGCAGGUGACGUUCAGUACCGCCCUGGAGGGGCUCACGGACCACCGGGCAGUGCGCCUGCAGCUCCGAGUCUCAGUGUCCUCCUAA